UUGUGACCCGCGGGUUGAGAAGCACUGUCCUAGAGCUCACUGGCCCACACUUUGCUUCUUUGCAUGUUUCCAAGACUAUUAGUGUUUCUCACCAGCUGGGUCAGCUCGGCCUGUCUGUGUCGAUAUGGGUGAAAGUCACACACACAGGGCCAGGUUGACAGCCAGGGAACUGGGAUUUCGCUGGCACAGCCAGCUUCCUCACACGCAGGUGCCACCGGUGUGCUGCCGCCCGCAGAGGGACCACCAGUAGGAGAGAAGUCCAUUAACCACAGUCCACUCCGAUUUCUGCCCAUGGGGGGACAAUUGGCACUGGCUCCACAGGGUUUUGUGAUGUGCACAUCUGUCCUAGAGUGAGAUCAAGCCAUCCACCAUCCCAGAUCAUCCACAACAGGUCUGACUGUCCGAGCUGUGCCCAUAAAGACUCCUAGAAACAGGACUUUUGCCCCCAAACAGAUGCCAGGCCCAGCAUUUGCAAACCAACUGGUCAAACUGCCCGGCCAUUGUGGAUUUUAGGGCUGCUGGUAGCCUCUCUGACUGUAUCCCAGAUGUUGCCUCCCUGAAAGUCGGCUGCUUUAGAGUGACCUCAAGUGGGCCAGGAAACAGCCACCAGGUGGAGACAAGAUCUGAUUGCUCAUGGGUGGACUGGGCUUGCACCGAUGGCCAGUGGACAUUCUGAAGGGCUGGACAGUCUGGGUAGACUGGACUUGCACAGGUGGCCAAAAAGCAGAAGGUUAUUAAGCACGCAUAGUUGGGCUUUGAAGAUGGGUCAGUGGAACUGAUGCUCCCCUUACUUACACCACGUUAAGUCCAUUCGUUCUUGCAUCAUCCCUCCAGAUAUACCUGGAAGUGUGAGAAGAGAAUCAGGCCCACUGAACCUUUUUGCCACUGCAGAUACUCAAGAGCCUCUUUUUGCUGCCCUUGAUCAUGAAGGAUGGCACACGAUCUCCGCAGGCAUUUGCACUGCUCUCAGAUGAUCUUCUUCUUGGGAAGGCACCAAACCUAGUGUCUUCCUAUGUCAUUUGGAUCAUUUACUUCAAGCAAAUCAUCCUUUUGGGCUGAUGCCAUGCCCAAGGGAUGGUGCUUCAUGGCCCCAGAGCUGUUGGCUCAUAUUUCCUUUUUAGCUCCGUGGUUGUCCUUUUGCUCCAUGCCUGGGCUGAGGGCGUGGGUGGCUCUGGGCCUCACAGUUACCCUUGCAAAACCCACGUCACUGGGAUGUUAAGAGCAUGCUCUGAUCCAAGGUAAACAGAGAAGCCCACGGGGAACAAAACCUCCCAAGGGGAGAGGAGUAAGAGGAACGAUUGAGGAAAAAAAAAAGAAAAUGAAAUAUAUAAAGUCUGGCCAAAUGAUGACGAAGGAGGGAGCAGAGCUGGAUAACGGUCUGCCAGUCUCUGACGAGUGCAAACACCAUGGAAAGAGAUCUGAGGAGAUGGAGCCAGGAGGAUGGAAGUUAGGAAACUAUUCGGGCUAUGUACUAGUUAGCCAGGAAAUCGGAUGGGAGCCCCAGGACUAGAGCAAUCGAGAAUGGGCUGGGCAUGUUUCACGGGGAGCACUCUUGUUCGCUGCAAGGAGGACGAACAGACAGAGGAGGAACAGUCAUAGAAAGAGCCCUACCCACAGCCAGGUUGUUCCCUGAGACCAGCAGCAGCUUUCCCCCAGCCCAGAUGCCUGUCCGCUGUUGCCAGAGACUGGGAAUCAGAAGCAACACAAGGCAUCCUGCACAUGCUGCCGCACCUCAAGGAUGCUUGAGGAUCUAGACCUACCUUGGGUAAGCCAAGGACUCACAAAGCGAGUCUGCACUAGAGCAGGAAAUUUUAUGGGAGCUUCCUGUGUCCAGAGCCAACCUCCACCCCAGGAUCGAGGCCCGAAGAUGCUACUACGAUACAGGCCCUGAGCAGGAGGUAUUUGCUGAAGCAAGGAGUGUCAGCACAUCCCUGUUUGACAGACUCACUGAAGACUUGGGAGACUGGGGCAACUCCUUGCUCUGCCACAGACUGCCUGUGCGUCCUUGGUCAAAUCACUUAUGCUGUCUGUGCUGCAAUUCCCACAUAGAGACCCUCCCAAAGCAAGGCAGAACUGAAGCAGCGAUUUCAUCCUGCAGGGGCUUUCAGCAAGGAAGCAGCUUGCAUGCAUGGGAGAUCCUCAAGCUGUGAGUAAGGACGGGCUCAGCAGGCAGGUGGAGUCUGGAGCACGGGGGACAAUACAUGCCACCCCACCAUUCAUUCUGUAGGUAACUGGUGCUGUCGAGCAAGUUAGACCCCAGGUUUUGUUUCCAUACUCUCUCUGUGAAGGAGGUGGGUGAUUCCUAUGAUGUGUUAUAGGUUCCACCUCUUUCAUUGUUAUGGGGGGUAACUCUGGGAAUUGCUAUUGCUCUGGGAAACCAGGAGGUCUCCUGUACACAGGAAAGGAGACAACAGCCUGAUAGACUUCACAGUCACUGUUCAUCUCCAGCCCUUUGGUGUGGGGCAUAAUCUCAUUAGCCGGGUCUGAGAGGUGCAGGGCACACAAAGAACUCCAGACCUGGCAAAAGGGGCUAUCUCUGAACAGCGGAGGAUGAGAAAGAUGCACUGUAUCCCAACCUCAGAGGGCAUUUCUACACGUGUGCAUUGACUGCGCAGUAACCAAAAUUAUUGCACAGUAUGGGCAUGUGUCUACAUGUGCGCACCCAUACUGUGCAGUAAAUAUGGCGACUUAAACUGACUUGAGAGUAAAUUUGAUACCUGCAUCAUGCAGGUAUCAAAUUUAUACCCGAUUAGUUCCUGUACAGUAAUGCACAUGUUGAUGCCUUACUGCACAGGACCACUGUGUGUGUGGACUGACUUGCGUGCAUGGGAGAUUCGGGACUACCAGCAGUCCCAAGUCAGUCCACAUACUGCUAAUGUGCUUUAAUGGCUGCCCAUGUAGACACUGGCCUAUUUCCACUUACUGCACAGUAAAUUUAAACCGGCGUAAAUGCACAUGUAGACAUGGCCGGAGUGUCUCACAGGUCUCUGCACUAGCCCCCCUCUAACGUCAGGUCCUUGCCACAGGCCAAUCCCCCCUGACAGCUAGAUGAGUGGUUCCCAAGCAUUGUGGACCAAACACUGAGUUUCCAAGUGAAAGGGGGAGCCUAGUUUGUUGCAGGGUCCAGUGAGAGUCGGUGACCAUGGGCUGCUGUUUGGGAACCGCUCUGCUAGACUGCUCUUCCUCUCUCCUUCUGCCAGGGUUUGACAACGAGGAUGCAUCUGGGAAGGUCCAGGAGGGUGAAGGCACCACCUAGCACUUGCGGGAAGACUUCAAGAGAUGAGAUAGCAGAGAACAAAUACAGAGCUGCAAGGCUGGCACGCAUUGUACUGCUGCAGCUUAACCAGCAGAGGGGAGGAGAGCCCCAGAAAUAGAGCCAAGGCCUGCGUGCAAAGGAGAAGGGAUGCUUUUUCCUUCACGGAGGGGGCUAUGUGGAGCCAGGUCUUGCACCACUGCAGAACCACACCAUACCGCUGGGUGCUUCUUGACUUUGAGGGGUGCAGGUUGUAGCCGUGUUGGUUUAAGGACACAGGCAGACAGAUAUAGGCAUCGGGGAAGGGUGUUUGUGCCCGAAAGCUCACCAAGAAGAAUUUUGCCAACUAUUUGAGUUGGUCUAAUAAAAGAUAUCGGACUUACCCAAAGAACCGUGUCUGUCUUGGCUUUGGAGGACUUGUGGUCCUUGUGGAGACAGGACAGUCGACAGCGCCCUCAACCCUCUGCUUUCCCAGUUGGCUUUGUUCCUGCUGAUGUUCUUGAGGAUUAUUCAUGCAGUAUUAAGGACACGUUAGACAAACGCUUGUCUAGGAUGGUUUAAACAGCGGUGUUCCUGCCCUGAGCAGCGCUUGGACUAGACGUGAGCUCCUGAGAUCCCUUCCAGCCCUACUUUUUAUGACUGUGUGACUGGCUAGUGGUCCCGUGUUGCAACAGAGGUCUUCAGGAAGCCUGAGCAAUUGCUUCUUGCUCAGCGCUGUUCUGCAGGGCAGCAUGGAUCCACGUCCCCGGCACUGCCCUAGCUUUGAGAGGGCACCUCCCGAUGCCUCGCUGCACCAGGCUGCCCUGUCUGUUGGGGUAUGGCAAUGGGAUCAGGCAAUGUUAUCCCACCUGCGCACUGGUGCCUGGUGUCGGAGGCUCAGGAUGGAGGCCAAAAGGGGAGCUUCCCUGUGGCUUAUUCACAGGCCAUCCCUCCUUGCCCUGCAUGGCCUCUGCCUCCUGCCCUCCAGCGGUGCCUGCUGUAUUGAGCUGGUGCCCCCUCAAGCUGUGCUCCCUAUUAAUCAUCCCGGCAAGGGGAGACCCUUUCUGUUGACUCAGCAGGCCAGCGGGAGUUGCAAAGAAGCUGCUGGCAGCAGGUGAAGCAACUGCAGCAAGCAAGCAAGCAAGCAAGCAAGCAAGCAAGCGGUAAAACGGUGUGAAGUGCUGAAGCUGGAGAGAGGGGGGAAGCCACGAAACAUGAGGUGCAGUGCAGGCCCCUGCUGAUGGGUUUGGGCCAUAACCUAACCCCAGUUGUCUUCCUGCCUGGAAUGGGAGGCAGGGGGGCUGGACCCGAUGGUCUGCAGGGUCUCUUCCAGCCCCUAACAACUAUGAAUCUAUGAGUAAUGGCUCCUUUGAAAGGUUUUUAUGCUUCAUUUCUGAGCUUAGCAGCUGAUUCUCUGACAGCAGGUGGCUGGGGGAGUGCUGGGCUUGGCGCUCAGGCUGCAAUCUGCCCCUGAUCCAUGACCACUGCGGCUGCCUUGACCUGGUCCCUCUGGGGUUAGGGAGCCCUGGAUGCUUUGUGUCCUGCCCUCCUUCCUCUCCAACAGCCGAGCAAAGGAAGCAAACAGUCUUAAGGGAGCAGACAGCUCUACCUUGAUGCUCUGUCCUGGGCACCUCUUUGCUCCUGGGAGAAACAAGGGGCUCCGCAUUGCAAGAAGAGAGGCUCUUUAUCUCCCCACCUUCACCCGGCAGCAGCUUCUUUAUCCCUGCUCCUCAAAGCAGCCCCUGAAGAGGCAGUUCAGCUGAGCAGGCAGCUCUGCAAUGCAGAACCUCGUGCCCAUGGCACGGUACAGUAGACAGCACUCACGCCCGUGCUUGCUUAGGGCUGAGCAAUGGUCCCCUCUCCAUGCUGCACCCAUCCUCACAUCCAUUCCUAGCUUUGCCGAUGAUUUGCCAAGUUAUCCUGAGCAAGUUACUCCACUGUCCGUCUGCAAACUGCAGGAAACACUCCCCCCCUGCCACCCCAUGUGAUGCUCCACUCAGUCAUAUUAGCAACCCAUACACGAUUGGUCCCUGCAAUGGAAAUCAUGUCCUCAGCAGAUUGGAGCUCCUUAAUUUAUCACCUAGAGAAGUUUCAGGGGCAACUUGAUCUUGGGCUGCGAGUACUUACCGAGGGACGAGACGUCCUUAAGCGGAGAGCUCUUUGCUUGAGCAGACAGUGACGUAACGUGAUCCAGUGGCCGGGAUCCAAAACCAGACACAAUCCCGACUGAGCAGCAACAACAUGUAAAUCUUUCACUUGAGGGUGAUUAAACCUUGGAACAACUCCCGAGGGACGGGCCGGAGUUGUAGCACCUGCAGGCUUUACAUCCAGGCUGGUGUUCCUCCGAAAGAGAGAUGCUCUCGGCCUGCCGCAGCAGGGCAUGCUCCAAGCAGGGUCUCUGGGUGCGAGCAUCUGCUGGCGGCUACCCCGACAGUCCCUUCUAGCCUCGAUAUCUCCAACAGAGGUGAAGGCUUUGCUAGAGAGUAGAAACAGACAUCACCUGACAUUAUAACCAUUUUUAUGGUGGUGCAUAGACUGUCCCUACCUUUUGCCAUGCUACAUCAGUGGGGUGACAAAAGAUAGUGUUAAACGAUGCCGCAGCAUUGUAGUGCACGUCUAUCUGCUCUGUGGCAGGAGAGUGCAGGAAGCCCACAGCUGCCCGCUCUCUCCAUCUGCUCCAGGCAUGUGUUUUGGGGGCCUGCCAAGCCCAGUCCUGUGCACCCGGGUAUUCCCACCUGGGGUUGUGCCCCUCGAGCCCUGGGAACACCUGCCCAGCUUUCCCUGCAUAUAGAGACGUGCCCUGGAAAGUCUUGGGGUGUCUCUCUGUGAGCAGGGAAAGUCGGGGAUCCUGGGGAUCUCCAGGGAUGCAUCUCCAUGAGCAGGGAAAGCCCUUGCAGGUCCUGGCAUGAAGGCAUGGGGCUUGGGGAAUCCCUGGUGCCCCGUGCCUGGAUGCCGGGACCCACUCCAAGUCCGGUGCUGACCUGUGCUUUGCAUGGAGGCAUGCGUUGGUGUGGGUCCCAUGUGGAGGCACACGGUGCUGGAUCCACUUCUGUGAGGCAUGGGUUAGCACGGGAUCCAGGAGGUAUGUGAAGGGCACAACGAAGCCCUGGGCGAGGGGAACCCAUGCUGUCCCCCACCGGGGUGCAAUGGGUGUUUCGCCCAGUCAAGCAACUCAGCUGCGGCAGGAUACGUCCUGCACAGCACAGCUGAUUUGCUUCAGUUUGGCUAUGUCUGUUUUUACCCAGAGAGAGGCAAAGGGCUCCUAUUCGAAACACUAGAUCUUGCCUUGUCAAGCCCGUUCCCUUUUCCCCAGCAUUUGUACAUGUCGAAAUAAAAAUCCAAAUUAAAAAAAGGGAGAGCAGAGAGCGCGAAGGAGCCUGCAGUCCAGAUGCUGACAAGGCUGUCUUUGGCAGGAGCUGGCACAGUGCUGGAGACCAAACCUAAACGGCUCAGAAUUAGAAUAAAAACAACAGACCCAAAGGACA